rnacentral:rRNA from 1 species
AGUUCUCCGCCUGGGGAGUACGGCCGCAAGGUUAAAACUCAAAGAAAUUGACGGGGGCCCGCACAAGCGGUGGAGCAUGUGGUUUAAUUCGAUGCAACGCGAAAAACCUUACCUACCCUUGACAUCCUCGGAACUUGUCAGAGAUGAUUUGGUGCCUUCGGGAACCGAGUGACAGGUGCUGCAUGGCUGUCGUCAGCUCGUGUCGUGAGAUGUUGGGUUAAGUCCCGUAACGAGCGCAACCCUCGUCCUUAGUUGCCAGCGAGUCAAGUCGGGAACUCUAAGGAGACUGCCGGUGAUAAACCGGAGGAAGGUGGGGAUGAUGUCAAGUCAUCAUGGCCCUUACGGGUAGGGCUACACACGUGCUACAAUGGGCAGUACAAAGGGUUGCCAAGCCGCGAGGUGGAGCUAAUCCCAGAAAACUGCUCGUAGUCCGGAUUGGAGUCUGCAACUCGACUCCAUGAAGUUGGAAUCGCUAGUAAUCGCGAAUCAGCAUGUCGCGGUGAAUACGUUCUCGGGCCU